rnacentral:rRNA from 1 species
UACGUAGGGGGCAAGCGUUGUCCGGAAUCAUUGGGCGUAAAGCGCGUGUAGGCGGCCCGAUAAGUCCGCUGUGAAAGUCCAGGGCUCAACCCUGGGAUGCCGGUGGAUACUGUCGGGCUCGAGUCCGGAAGAGGCGAGUCGAAAUUCCUGGAUGUAGCGGUGAAAGUGACGCAGAUAUCAGGAGGAACACCAAUGGCGAAGGCAGCUCGCUGGGACGUGACUGACGCUGAGACGCGAAAGCGUGGGGAGCAAACAGG